rnacentral:sRNA from 2 species
CGGCAUAAGGCUCAAGCCUGGUUGCAGCUCUGAUUUGAAAGGCCCCCUCGUUUUCGAGGGGGCCACUUUUAUUGCACAU